rnacentral:lncRNA from 1 species
GUCGGGGCUGGCGGUGCGGGGAUAGCAUGGGAACGCAAAGGCAUCCGGGUGGCACAUCGGCACCACGAGGAGCUGCAGAAUAACGUACCGAGCCUGCUGGGAAGCAACAAGACCUUUACUGCCGCCAAGCCCAUGGUCUGCCAACAAAACGCUCAACACGAGCGGUGAGUUCGCGGCUCCGGACACCCACUGAAGAACUGCGACAAACCGGGGGGCGGCUUCUUGCUUCGUGCCACUCAGCUCCCGGACAGGAGGAGGAGGAGGAGGAGGAGGAGGAGGAGAUGCGCGUUGCCGGGCGCUGUGCAGGCGGGGACACCCAGCGGCACCCCGCGGCCCCCGGCAAUGCGGCCCCGCCGGCGGGGAGGGCGGGGCGAGGCGGGCGGCGGCGGCGGGGCGCGGGGCUCCGGCGGCGUCUAUGUCAGCGUCUCACCCUUGGUGACCCGCGCCUCGAUGUACUCGAUCCUGCGCUCCAGCGCCGUCAGCUUCUCGUUCAGCGUAGCCAGGCGGGAGCGGCACGACAUGUCGAAGGAGUUGAGGAAGUCGGCGAUCUUCUUGAUGGAGCUGGUGAUCACCUCGAUGUACUCGCGGUUGGCCCAGUCCUGGUGGAUCUCUCGCUGCACCGGGUCCUCCUGCACCGACAUGGCCGCCGCCGCCGCCGCCCGCGCAUGCGCGCCGCCGCGCUCCUCCUCCUCCUCCUCUUCCUCCUCCUGUUCCCCGCCGGCUCAGCGCCCCGCCCCGCCGCUGUCGCUGUCCGUUCCGUCCGGCUCCUCCGCUGCGCUGUCCUCCGUGUCCUCCUCCGAGCCCUCCGCGGAGUCCUCCUCCGGCGCUGCGGAAGCCUGGGACAGGAUUUCUUCUCCCUGCAGGUCCCGGUUCUUCAGGACGCCCACCCAGAAGGCCUCCUGGCAGUGGUUGAAGGCCAGCAUCGCCUUCACACGGUACACAAAUUGUUCCAGGGACUUCUUCAGCAAAGGCACGUGGUUGGUCAGGCCGAGAUCCUGGUGAAUCUGAAAACAGCACACCAUGGGUCCGCUUGGUUCUCGCCUAGGCUAAGUGCCUGUAAAACUGAGGCUCCACGGGCCCAGGCUGGGAGGAGGUCAUUGGCAAAUUACGUUCUGCUGUAGCAGCUCCAGGGGACAGUGCUAGCCCAAGCCAUGGCUACAAAGGUGGGGAUGGAGCAAGCUAUUGCUGGUGAAAUAGCAGUCAUCUCUGCAGGGCAGCAAUGAACAGCCCCGCAGUCCCAAUGCACAGCAAAGAGCAGAGCUACGGUCAUCAGAGCACCAAACCACCUGCUUAGGAGGGGACAUGGCUACUUGCUGAGAGCUGCAAGCCCACCACGUCAGGAAGCUGUCAGAUUGCCAAGCAUGGAGAAGAAAUGAGAAAGAUGCAGAAUAAACCACUGCAAUGGCAGUCUUUUCUUGCUCAGUGCCUGACGCAGCUCCUUUACAAUAGCUGCGUGGGAUGCAGUAUGAACUCAAAAGCCAUCUUGUGCAGAACAAAGCAGCACAGGCUUUUGGAGGACUGGGACAGGAGGGAAGAGAUGGGAUUGCUGUAAGCACAAAGCAGCUGAGGAAGGGCAGCUAUGCCAGGUACUGUGUGUGAUUUAGCUCCUGGUGAGCCAGACUGUCUCUGAGCAGUCUCUUCCUGCAAGGCUUGGAUGUGCAAUACAGCAUGGAGCCAUUGCUGAAACAGAACGUGCCCAGAGCCAUAAACAACUACUUUGUGCAUAAGAAUGUUCUUCUUUCAUGAGAGUAGUUUGCAGUCUUCUAG